UACGUAGGGUGCAAGCGUUGUCCGGAAUUAUUGGGCGUAAAGAGCUCGUAGGCGGUUCGUCGCGUCGGCUGUGAAAUCCCGAGGCUCAACCUCGGGUCUGCAGUCGAUACGGGCGGACUGGAGUACUGCAGGGGAGACUGGAAUUCCUGGUGUAGCGGUGAAAUGCGCAGAUAUCAGGAGGAACACCGGUGGCGAAGGCGGGUCUCUGGGCCGUAACUGACGCUGAGGAGCGAAAGCAUGGGGAGCGAACAGG
rnacentral:rRNA from 1 species